rnacentral:lncRNA from 1 species
AAUAAGAAAAAGAGUGAUAACUCUCUGAAUUCCUGGACGUUUACAUCUGAAGUGAAGGAUCUUCCCCCUCCAACAAAUGUCAUGUUAAAAGUUAUGACUAAUAAAGUUUGAUUUCAAAAUUAUAUGACAUAAUGACAUUUUUUUUCCCUUAUAUCCUGAAAGUCAAUAAUAGGCGGGGCUUUGUCUCUGUCAAUACUCAGUUUUGUAAGCUGCAUCUAGAUAGAUGCCCAGAAGGGCUGCCUGCAGCCUGGUACGCUUUUUCUCAGGGUGCUGCUGAUGUGAGUUACCAGCUUCUACCCCGCGAGCAAGCCAUUGUCAGUGUUUCCUCGGACCCUGGAGAUGCUGGUCGUGGCUAUUUGAAUAGGGCUAACGUUUGUCAGGUAUAACAGAUUGUUCAAAUGUAUCUGACUUUGAGUUUAACUCUUUUAAGUUUAACUUCAUCUGGGCAAUAGAAAGUCAGACAUUUUAAGUAAUGUCAAAUGUAAUCAAGAAUUAAAUGUGUUGGUUUAAUUUUCUUUGACCUCUAGCUGCCUUUCAUUCACAGAAAAAGAUUACUAAUACUUCAGAUAGUUAUUGUUAUAGAAGGAGGAAGAUUUUAUACUUUUUCUAGGCAAAAGUUUACUUUUGUCCACUCCUACCAGUUUCUGUAUUUAUCGGUUGUAUGACAAUUUUUUAUUUUUUGGUUGGGGUUUAAAUUUAGUUGAAGUAACCAGCUUAAUUACUCAGUAGUCUUAGUCUACUUAGCUUUAUAUCUUUUUCUGACUUAGUAAUAUUAGUAUUUUUCCCAGAUUUUUUAUUAUGAAAAAUGUCAAACAUAAGGUAGUUAUCUUGCAGAAUAGCCUAAAUUUUGGAUUUGUCUGAGUCCUUCAUGAUUAAUACAAGAACUUUUAAUCAUAGUAGUCUUCAGUUUUUAGGUCCAUUUGCUGAAAAUAAUUUUUAUACUUGUGUCAUGGCACUUAAUAAUUACUAAUAUUGACCUAAUUCCAUUUCAUUCUGUUACUGAAUAUGAUCUUAGUAGAGAGAUCCUAUAAGUAAGGGUUCUGAGAAUGGGAUCCUAAUUUUUAGAAGAUCUGUGUUCUCUCUGUUUCUAACAGAUUUCUUCUGUGGCCUUGAAUGCAUUAUACAACCAUUCCACCUGUGCUAUAUAAAACACACAGAAUUGCUUACCUUUUAAAACAAUUUAGUGGAUUUAAUGACUGAUGUUUAUAAAGCCCAUAGAAUAUGUUAAAAUAUAGCUAAGAUGGUAAUAAUUAGAGAAAUGAUUAUGGUAUUUUUUGGUCCUUUCAAAUAAGCUUUCAUUUAGUUUAAGUGUUGUAUCUUCAGCAGGCAUUUCUGUCUCAGAUCUGAAGCAAAGGGACACUAACCUUAAAUGCCUACCUACUGUGUGGUAAGCAUUGGGCUAGAGUCUUCAAAUGCAUCUCCUCAUUUAAUUUUUAAGCCUCCAUCUAACCUGUGAAAUAUGUGAAUUCUUAUUUCCAUUUUAUAGACCAGGAAACCCAGGGUCAGAGUGGUUUGGUAACUUGCUGUGUACUAUAAACCUAGUAAGUGCUGCAAUCAGGCUGUGAGCCUGGAGCUUUGUACAUUUGUGAGUUGAGCUUUAUUAUGAGAACUUUUCUAAAUACUUCUGAAAUGUCACAUACAUUGAGGAAAAUCUCUCCCCCCAAAUUUGGUAGCUACUAGUGAAGAAUUUAUACCAUCUUUUUCUGACCAGAAACAUUUAAUAUACAGAGUGUUAAGUAUAUUAAUUUUCCCAUUACAGUAUGUCUCCUGUCACUGAUUAUAUUCUAGGAUGUUGGCAAAGGAUGAACUGAUGACCAUACUUCAGAAAUGUUUCAAGGUUUUUAAGUCCUCUUCUGAAAAGCAGCUUGGGAGCACAGCAAAGAGAAU